AGGGCGAGCGGUCUGAGAGAGGCACAGGGGGCUGGGAGGGAAGAUUUUUGACAUUUGAGGCAGGCCCUGGAUAAAGAGGAAGAAACCAGAUCCUGUGGUUCCCUUUGAACAGAAGAUGGAAAGCCAUUGCUGACCACGGGGGCAGCGAGCCCAGCCUGGGACCCAGGACCCCUGUCCAGGACGCUACACCCACUCCUGUGUGACCCUGGGAAGGUCCACUUCCCUUCUCUGAGCCGCGGGUGCCUUCAUCUGGGCCUGAGGGAAGUGAGCCACAGCUGGAAGCUUCCUUGAAACACCUUCUAAGAAUCUCCAUUUCUGAGCAUUCCGGUUCUGACUCAGCUCCGGCCUCUAGCUUUUGGACUUUGGCAAGGGCUCUUCUGAAACCUUUAUGGACUCUGGGAGGCAAGAACAGUUGGAGAAAGACAGAGGGGAGGACAUGAAUAAGAAAAAUAGAUGUGAUCAACAACUAUUUACUGAGCAAGGCAUUUGGAAGACAGAGAAACAGACCACCAGGAGGCGCCGCGAAUCAACAUCCCGGUUGCCUCUCUGCAGCGCCACCUUGAGGAGGAAUCCAUGAACCGCCGUAGAAGGAACAGCCCCACUUAGAGGGUCAAG